rnacentral:rRNA from 1 species
AUUGAACGCUGGCGGCAUGCUUUACACAUGCAAGUCGAACGGUAACAGGGAGCUUGCUCCGCUGACGAGUGGCGAACGGGUGAGUAAUGCGUCGGAACGUGCCGAGUAGUGGGGGAUAACGCAUCGAAAGGUGUGCUAAUACCGCAUACGAACUGAGGUUGAAAGUGGGGGACCUUCGGGCCUCACGCUAUUCGAGCGGCCGACGUCUGAUUAGCUAGUUGGUGAGGUAAAGGCUCACCAAGGCGACGAUCAGUAGCGGGUCUGAGAGGAUGAUCCGCCACACUGGGACUGAGACACGGCCCAGACUCCUACGGGAGGCAGCAGUGGGGAAUUUUGGACAAUGGGCGCAAGCCUGAUCCAGCCAUGCCGCGUGUCUGAAGAAGGCCUUCGGGUUGUAAAGGACUUUUGUCCGGGAGCAAAUGCUGGUGGCUAACAUCCACCGGAGCUGAGAGUACCGGAAGAAUAAGCACCGGCUAACAUCGUGCCAGCAGCAGCGGUAACAC